CCGAGUUGUAAUUUGCAGAAGGUGCUUCGGACGAGGUCGCGGCCCAAGUCCCCUGGAACGGGGCGCCCCAGAGGGUGAGAGUCCCGUACGCCAAGGCCGAGUCCACGCGAAGCCCUUUCGACGAGUCGAGUUGUUUGGGAAUGCAGCUCAAAACGGGUGGUAAAUUUCAUCUAAGGCUAAAUAUCUGCCGGAGACCGAUAGCGCACAAGUAGAGUGAUCGAAAGAUGAAAAGAACUUUGAAAAGAGAGUUAAAAAGUACGUGAAAUUGUUGAAAGGGAAGCGCUUGCAACCAGACUCGCUCGCGGGGGCUCAUCCGUCCUUCGGGACGGUUCACUCCCCCGCGGCGGGCCAGCAUCGGCUUCGGCGGCUGGACAAAGGCCCCGGGAACGUAGCUCCUUCGGGAGUGUUACAGCCCGGGGUGCAAUGCAGCCCGCCGGGGCCGAGGACCGCGCACUGCUAGGAUGCUGGCGUAAUGGUUGCCAGCGACCCGUCUUGAAACACGGACCAAGGAGUGAACCAACCGAGCGAGUAUGUGGGUGUCAAGCCCAGAUGCGUAAUGAAAGUGAACGGAGGCGGGAGCCCCCCGGGGUGCACCGUCGGCCGAUCCGGAUGUCUUCGGAUGGAUUUGAGCAAGAGCUCGGCCGGUUCGACCCGAAAGAUGGUGAACUAUGCGUGAAUAGGGUGAAGCCAGAGGAAACUCUGGUGGAGGCUCGCAGCGGUUCUGACGUGCAAAUCGAUCGUCAAAUUUGCGCAUAGGGGCGAAAGACUAAUCGAACCAUCUAGUAGCUGGUUCCCGUCGAAGUUUCCCUCAGGAUAGCAGCAACGAAAACAGUCUCAUGAGGUAGAGCAACGAUUAGAGGCCUUGGGGUCGCAACGACCUUAACCUAUUCUCGAACUUCGAAUAUGUGAGAAGUCCCCGUUACUUGGUGAACGAGGACAC
rnacentral:rRNA from 1 species